CUUCACAGAGAUAACAGGCCAGAUGGGCAUUGAGACAAGUGAACAGGCAGAUGGAAAACAGCAUGGUGAGUAAUACAGAUGGUGGGAAGAACAGGGUACUAUGGCAUCUGCUGUGGAAAGAAGAUAGAUCUAGGUGAUGGUUAAGUCUAAGACAAAGGAGGAGUAAAAUCAUCAAGGAAAGCAGGAGAGAGGGAAGGAAGUGGAAAGCAGACAAAAAAAAAAAAAAAACAACAGCAGCUGUAGAAGCCUGAGAAGAUGAGAGAGUCAAGUCCUUAGAGGGACUGAAAGCAGAGACAUAACGGCACAAAACGAGAUGGGAAAGUGACGGAGCAAUACAUGAGUCUGUAAUGAGUGUAAUUGAUGCCUUUGUUUUCAAAUGAGAUAUUUCUGGAGUGAUAAAUCUGGAUCUAUGGAUCUUACAUAAGGGAUUUAGGUGGGCAGCAGCACUUGGUUAUUUACAAGUUCAGGAUCCUGUUUAUAAAGCAAGGAAAGAUUGCUAUCUGUCUCCAGCACUAUGGCGAGAUAAUUAAUAGGAGCACUGCUGGAGACUGAUAGUGCAGGCGGCCGAUACCCAUGGCAGGAGCUCUCGUCAUCUAACUGCCACAGAAUUGUGAAGGUAAAGAAUCUGCAGAAAAGUGGAACAUUCAUUUUUACUAAAUAAAUGCAUUAUCUAUAGCACACAUUAUAGAGUUUUGUUGUUGUUGUUGUUAAUCUAACAUGUAACAGAAAUAAAAGAGAUUGUUUCUAAACCACUUUAAACUGUUCUGGCAACUACCUUAGACCCUUCUGGCGAAGCAUCUCUAAAGAAGACCAUUGACAGCCACUAUCAGUAGCAGCAGCAGUGGGCAUGUGUCCUCGCUUGCCACCCCACAAAAAAGCAAACAAACAAAAAUCAUUCCCAGAUGAAAACUACGAAGUUGUAAACUAUAAAAGGGAAGAUUAAACAUUGUCUGUGUGUUCUCUAACAUCCAUUUGAUUUAUAGUUUUUUUUUUUUUCCUUUUUUGACAGAAGUUGGUCUUAUCCCAUUUUCUCAGCAUAAAAAUAACAAUUCUCUUAUAAGGCAGUUUUACGCAGCAUUAACAGAGCAAAGAGUAAACUUUGUUUGCUUUAAUAAUACUAAAUUGUAACAUCAUAUUUUCUAUUUGCAAAUGUUUGUCCAUCUACUGGAUGUAUAAAUCUUCGUAGUGACAAAAGUAUGUUUGAUUUAUUUAUAAUGGUCAAUGGAAGGGCUAUGAAAUUGUGUAUUAAGCUACUAUGAGAAAAGCGGCAUGGCUCAAAUAAUCAUCUUUAUAUUCAGCAUGCUUCAGGCAAUCACUAAUUUUUGAGAAAUCUAUUGUUCUCUAGUUUUUCCCAAGUACUCAUUUCCAACCUCAUUCCAUCAGGUAUUCUCUGAGGAGUCUUAUCCCUAUGACUUGCUCAAAGCAGAUAUUGUCUAUUUUUUUUGUCUAUUAAGAAAAUAACAAAAUUUUAAAACCAAAUAAGAUCUUGGCUAAGAUACCAUAUGAAAGGUGAAUACACACAGACCCAAACAAGUCCAAAAGAUUGCCUGUCAUAAAGUUAAAACUGGAAUCAGAACUGGCAACCUGGACUUCUGACUUGUGAUUCAGGAUAUAUUUCAC
rnacentral:lncRNA from 1 species